UCGGGUAGAGGCGCAAAAUUCAAUAUCGCCACGCAUUUACGCUUAAACGUUGCAAGCGAAAGGGGAUUUUGCCGAAACCUUCAAAGAUUUUAAGGUUUUUGUCGGUUGGGCAAUAAGAGAACAUCUUAUUGACUGUCGCUUUAAAAAGCGGAGUGCUAUCGUA
rnacentral:ncRNA from 1 species